rnacentral:lncRNA from 1 species
AUUUUCGUUUCCUUAUUCGAUUUCCAUUUCCUUAUUCGAUUUUCAUUUCCUAAUUCGGUUUCUUUUUCCUUUUUCAAUAUUCAUUUCCUUUUUCGGUUUCUAGUUCCUUAUUCAGUUUCUAUUUCCUUAUUGGAUUUUCAUUUCCUUAUUCAAUUUCCAUUUCCUUAUUCGGUUUCUUUUUCCUUAUUCAGUUUCUUUUUCCUUUUUCAAUAUUCAUUUUCUUUUUCGGUUUCGGUUUCCUUAUUCGGUUUCUAUUUCCUUAUUCUGUUUCUAUUUCCUUAUUUGGUUUCUAUUUUAUUAUUGGAUUUUCGUUUCCUUAUUCGAUUUUCAUUUCCUUAUUCGGUUUCUUUUUCCUUUUCCAAUAUUCAUUUCCUUUUUCGGUUUCUAGUUCCUUAUUCGGUUUCUAAUUCCUUAUUGGAUUUUCAUUUCCUUAUUCAAUUUCCAUUUCCUUAUUCGGUUUCUUUUUCCUUAUUCAGUUUCUUUUUCCUUAUUCGGUUUCUUUUUCUUUUUUCAAUAUUCAUUUCUUUUUUCGGUUUCUAGUUCCUUAUUCGGUUUCUAUUUCUUUUUCGAUUUUCAUUUCCUUAUUCGGUUUCCAUUUCCUUUUUCGAUAUUCAAAUUUUGAAGUCCAAACUGAAUUUUUUUUUUCCUUCAAAUUUUUUUUUCCUCAAAAAUUUUUUUUCCCUCAAAAUUUGUUUUCCUCAAAUUUUUUUUUUCUUCAAAAAUUUUUUUUUCCUCAAAAUUUUUUUUCCUGAAAUUUUUUUUUUCCUCAAAAUUUUUUCCUCAAAUUUUUUUUUCCUCAAAAUAUUUUUCCUCAAAAAGUUUUUUUUCAUUUCCUUAUUCGUUUUCUUUUUCCUUUUUCGAUUAUUUAUAGUAUAACUAAUCGCCGUAUUUGUAUAUCAUAAAUAAGACAACGCGUGACCGAACGUCGCAUGGAUUAAACGAGUGCGCAGCACGAGUUUAAUCCAUAGCGGCGUUCGGUCACAAGUUGUCUUAUUUUUGAUAUUCAAAUACGGUGAUUAGUUAUACUUUUUAUUACAUUGGCUAAUGGUUUUUUUUUUUAAGAAAUUAAUGUUAGAAAUGUAAGGAACUAUAUUUUUUUCCUACGCAUUCACAAUUUGUUUUGAUCCGACGUUAUCGACGUCUUGACAACGCCUAUUAUCGGUCGUCCCACUGUCUAUAUCACUCUAUUCAGCUCUUAAUAUUAUACAAAUAUAGCCUUUGUAUGAGGUCGAUACAAGGAUAUAUUGACCUGAAAGAAGUAUAUUGACUGAGAACGAAGUCCGAGGUCGAUAUACUUCUUUGGGUCGAUAUAUCCUGUAUUGACCUCAUACAAAGGCUAUAUUUGUUAUAUUAUUAAUUUCCGACCAUAUUUGUGUCAAAAUCG